CAGAUCCCACAGACACUCACUCUUUCAUUAUGUCUGAAAAUUCAAUAUACCAGCCAUCAGAUGUUUUGGUCAACAAACAGAAACAGGGUAAUGCAGAGAUUGUUUAUCACCUGUACUCCAUGAUCCCUGACAAACCAGUUCACUCAAAUGCAGAAGAUCACGUGUACAGUUUGGUGAAGAUGCACUGAUGAAUCUCAUGUCUGUGUUCAUUAUGUAUAGCGACUGUAAAUAAAGUGUCUUUACUUUCAGACAAAGGCAGAAGGUGUUUAUUUUUUUUAUUAUUCAGUGUUUGGUGUGGAAUAUACUGUGACUUCAUUGAAUAUCCAGAGCAUCUUCUCUGGCAAUCCCACUAGUACAGUACCACUAGUGUAGCUUGGGCAUUCAAUGAGACCUGAACUAAAAUUUUGAUGAUAAAUGAAAAUGUUUUACUUCUUUUCUGAUGAAAUUGAACCAUCUGAACAUUUGAACCAAAUCUUUUUUUCUUAUUAGUUUUCUGUAUUUAUUUU